AACGAACGCUGGCGGCAGGCUUAACACAUGCAAGUCGAGCGCGUAGCAAUACGAGCGGCAGACGGGUGAGUAACGCGUGGGAAUCUACCGAGCCCUAAGGAAUAGCUCCGGGAAACUGGAAUUAAUACCUUAUACGCCCUUCGGGGGAAAGAUUUAUCGGGGUUUGAUGAGCCCGCGUUGGAUUAGCUAGUUGGUGGGGUAAAGGCCUACCAAGGCGACGAUCCAUAGCUGGUCUGAGAGGAUGAUCAGCCACAUUGGGACUGAGACACGGCCCAAACUCCUACGGGAGGCAGCAGUGGGGAAUAUUGGACAAUGGGCGCAAGCCUGAUCCAGCCAUGCCGCGUGAGUGAUGAAGGCCCUAGGGUUGUAAAGCUCUUUCACCGGUGAAGAUAAUGACGGUAACCGGAGAAGAAGCCCCGGCUAACUUCGUGCCAGCAGCCGCGGUAAAAC
rnacentral:rRNA from 1 species